rnacentral:siRNA from 1 species
UAAUGUCGGCGAUCUGCCUCCUC